GAGACGGCUACGGACUCAAAGAGGUUGGAGACUACAGUGAACAGAGGCAACAUCGUGUGGCUCUUCACCGCUGGCGUCAACUCCGGUAGGAGAAGAGGGUGAAAGGUACAGCAAGUUGUACAUGAAGAAGUCCAGGACCUGGAGGUUGUCUGCCAUGGACCAGAGCACUGGGACCAGACGAUCCCGUCAACAGCUAGAGAAGCAGGUCAGCAGAGGACCAGGACCACUGCCUAAGAGUCGACAACAACAAAGCCUGACCC